rnacentral:rRNA from 1 species
UACGUAGGGCGCAAGCGUUGUCCGGAAUUAUUGGGCGUAAAGAGCUCGUAGGCGGCUUGUCGCGUCUGUUGUGAAAGCCCGGGGCUUAACCCCGGGUCUGCAGUGGAUACGGGCAGGCUAGAGGCAGGUAGGGGAGAACGGGAAUUCCCGGUGUAGCGGUGAAAUGCGCAGAUAUCGGGAGGAACACCGGUGGCGAAGGCGGUUCUCUGGGCAUUACCUGACGCUGAGGAGCGAAAGUGUGGGGAGCGAACAGG